rnacentral:rRNA from 1 species
UACAGAGGUCUCGAGCGUUAGGCGGAAUCACUGGGCUUAAAGCGUGUGUAGGUGGAUCGUUAAGUACCUUGUGAAAUCCCACGGCUUAACCGUGGAACUGCUUGGUAUACUGGCGGUCUUGAGCCAGCUAGGGGCUACCGGAACAAAUGGUGGAGCGGUGAAAUGCGUAGAUAUUCGCAAGAACACCAGUGGCGAAGGCGGCUCACUGGCCCGGUACUGACGCUGAGGUGCGAAAGCGUGGGGAGCAAACAGG